rnacentral:rRNA from 1 species
CAAUAGCAUAUAUUAACGUUGUUGCAGUUGAAAAGCUCGUAGUUGAACUUUUGGUAGGAGCGACCUGGCCUUGGGCGCAUGCCCUUGUUUGCCGUGUGUCGUAUCUGGCCAUCCUUUUCCGUUUCGGCGGGAAUCUUUUACUGUGAGUAAACUGGAGUGCUCAAAACAAAGCGUUUGUUUGGUACAUUAAAGCAUGGAAUAAUAAGAUAGGACCUGGUUACUAUUUUGUUGGUUUGCAUAGCUAGGUAAUGAUUAACAGGGACAGUUGGGGGUAUUCGUAUUUAAUUGUCAGAGGUGAAAUUCUUGGAUUUAUGAAAGACGAACGACUGCGAAAGCAUUUACCAAGGAUGUUUUCAUUAA